UCAAUGAGCCCUUAUAGUGGAUGUUGGUGAUAGUUGGUCCACUAUAGAAGUGGGGUGUGCAUCGAGAUAGAAUCUAUCGAUCCUAGCAGAAGGGAGUAGUCCUAUGGGAUUUAAGAGGCUAAGUCCUUAAGUCUAUUGUCAUAGCAGUAUGAUUGAUGGAAAAAAAAAUUUCAUAGAAUCACAUAUGAACUCGAGCUGAUUGAAUUUAUCAUAUGAUCGAUGUUGAAGUUUGACGAUUCAUCUAUGUCCUGCCAUC
rnacentral:lncRNA from 1 species